AUGAACGCCGGCGGUGUGCCUAAUACAUGCAAGUCGUACGCACUGGCCCAACUGAUUGAUGGUGCUUGCACCUGAUUUGACGAUGGAUCACCAGUGAGUGGCGGACGGGUGAGUAACACGUAGGUAACCUGCCCCGGAGCGGGGGAUAACAUUUGGAAACAGAUGCUAAUACCGCAUAACAACAAAAGCCACAUGGCUUUUGUUUGAAAGAUGGCUUUGGCUAUCACUCUGGGAUGGACCUGCGGUGCAUUAGCUAGUUGGUAAGGUAACGGCUUACCAAGGCGAUGAUGCAUAGCCGAGUUGAGAGACUGAUCGGCCACAAUGGAACUGAGACACGGUCCAUACUCCUACGGGAGGCAGCAGUAGGGAAUCUUCCACAAUGGGCGCAAGCCUGAUGGAGCAACACCGCGUGAGUGAAGAAGGGUUUCGGCUCGUAAAGCUCUGUUGUUGGACGAAGAACGUGCGUGAGAGUAACUGUUCACGCAGUGACGGUAUCCAACCAGAAAGUCACGGCUAACUACGUGCCAGCAGCCGCGGUAAUACGUAGGUGGCAAGCGUUAUCCGGAUUUAUUGGGCGUAAAGCGAGCGCAGGCGGUUGCUUAGGUCUGAUGUGAAAGCCUUCGGCUUAACCGAAGAAGUGCAUCGGAAACCGGGCGACUUGAGUGCAGAAGAGGACAGUGGAACUCCAUGUGUAGCGGUGGAAUGCGUAGAUAUAUGGAAGAACACCAGUGGCGAAGGCGGCUGUCUGGUCUGCAACUGACGCUGAGGCUCGAAAGCAUGGGUAGCGAACAGGAUUAGAUACCCUGGUAGUCCAUGCCGUAAACGAUGAGUGCUAGGUGUUGGAGGGUUUCCGCCCUUCAGUGCCGGAGCUAACGCAUUAAGCACUCCGCCUGGGGAGUACGACCGCAAGGUUGAAACUCAAAGGAAUUGACGGGGGCCCGCACAAGCGGUGGAGCAUGUGGUUUAAUUCGAAGCUACGCGAAGAACUUACCAGGUCUUGACAUCUUGCGCUAACCUUAGAGAUAAGGCGUUCCCUUCGGGGACGCAAUGACAGGUGGUGCAUGGUCGUCGUCAGCUCGUGUCGUGAGAUGUUGGGUUAAGUCCCGCAACGAGCGCAACCCUUGUUACUAGUUGCCAGCAUUAAGUUGGGCACUCUAGUGAGACUGCCGGUGACAAACCGGAGGAAGGUGGGGACGACGUCAGAUCAUCAUGCCCCUUAUGGACCUGGGCUACACACGUGCUACAAUGGACGGUACAACGAGUCGCAAGCUCGCGAGAGUAAGCUAAUCUCUUAAAGCCGUUCUCAGUUCGGACUGUAGGCUGCAAC
rnacentral:rRNA from 1 species